GUGGUUCCCCAAGCCUCACGUGCUUGGAAUGUGAUUAUAUUAUGGGCCGUUAGAGCUGUUAGAGGUGGAGUCUGGCCUAAAGAAGUGGAUAUGUGAGCGUGACCCCGAAGGGAAUAUCUCCCUUUCCAGCACCUCCCUUGACUUGCACUCUACUUCCUGGUUCCCAUGCCGGGAGCUGCUUUCCUCCGCCACGCCCCUCUGCCAUACUGUUUCUUCUUUGGAGCCAGCCAAUUAUGGACUGAAACCUCUACAAACUGUGAGCCACGAGAAACCUCUUCUUCCUUAAUGUGUUAAACAACAGAAGCAGUGUAUAUGCUAAAAGAAAUUCUAGGGUGUCCCCAGAGAUGAGCCACGGAGAAGACAGCAGAGUAAGGGGGAAGACCCACCCUGAUUAUGAGCCUGCCCUUCCUCAACCCGGGCAGAAUGCAAGGAGAAUGAGGAGAACCCGCUCAAGGGGCUGCCUGUCUCGCACUGCCAAGGCCUGUGGACCUGAGAUGCCAAUCGCUUUGUAAGAGCCUGACUGAACCAGAGCGACUCCAUGUUGACCAGCAAACGACCUAGAGACUGUCGC